rnacentral:rRNA from 1 species
UCAGGANGAACGCUGGCGGCGUGCUUAACACAUGCAAGUCGAGCGGAAAGGCCCUUUCGGGGGUACUCGAGCGGCGAACGGGUGAGUAACACGUGAGUAAUNUGCCCUUGGCUUCGGGAUAACUACCGGAAACGGUGGCUAAUACCGGAUAUGACCGGCUCCGGCAUCGGAUGUUGGUGGAAAGUUUUUUCGGCCAGGGAUGUGCUCGCGGCCUAUCAGCUUGUUGGUGGGGUAAUGGCCUACCAAGGCUUCGACGGGUAGCCGGCCUGAGAGGGUGACCGGCCACACUGGGACUGAGACACGGCCCAGACUCNUACGGGAGGCAGCANUGGGGAAUAUUGGACAAUGGGCGGAAGCCUNAUCCAGCAACGCCGCGUGAGGGAUGACGGCCUUCGGGUUGUAAACCUCUUUCAGUACNGACGAAG